GGCGGGAUGGCAGAGUGGUUAUGCAGCGGCCUGCAAAGCCGUUGACGCCGGUUCGAUUCCGACUCCCGCCUCCA
rnacentral:tRNA from 1 species